AUGUUGUUCAACGUGCUUCAAGAAGGCCAAUUUAUGUUGAAGCUUCUGAAGGUGAAGAAUAUGAUGAUGUCCUUGAAGAACCAGAUCUCUACGCAUAUCGGGGACUCUACAUAUACAAGAGAUACAUACAAGGUGAAAGCUGUGAUCCCAACUUUUAAUGGAAAUGUUGAUAUUGAAGGGUGCCUAGAUUGGUUAUAUGCAGUGGAGACUUUCUUUGAGGUCGUGGAGGUUCCGGAAGAUCCUAGAGUUCCUUUGGUCGCAUACAAGCUGAAAAGAGGAGCCGGUGCAUGGUGGCAUCGCGUUCAAGAAGAGCGGCGUAGGCUGAGAGGAGAACCUCGUGUGAGAACUUGGCAACAAAUGAAAAGUCUCUUGAAAGGGAGAUUUUUGCCCGCUGAUUAUGACCAGAUCCUAUUUAUCCAAUUUCAAAAUUGUGCUCAAGGAAAUAGGACCAUUUCAGAUUACACGGAGGAGUUUCUAAGGCUACAAGUGAGGUGCAACUUUGCUGAAACUGAAGAUCAACAAGUUGCAAGGUACAUCAAUGGUCUCAAUGAUGCUAUUCAAGAUCGAUUGAUGAUGCAACAAAUCUGGUCAAUUGAUCAAGCACAAGCUCUAGCCUUAAAGGCCGAGAGGUUUGUGAGGACAAGAAAGGCAACUAAGGCUCCAUAUCCUCCAUAUCCUCAUGCCGAAGGCUCGUCUAGGAGUCAGCCUAAUAGAGUGGAAGAAAAGACUGCUCCACCAAAUGCAAAACGACCCAUCCAGAAGCAAACUAGAAUCAAGGGUAAGUCCAAUGAAGGCCCAAAAUGCUAUAAAUGUGGUGAAGAGGGACACAUAUCUAGCGGUUGCCCACUAAGGAAAUUUGUCAACACAACUAUCCAUGAUGGUGAAGGCGAUGAGGAAGAAUACGAAUCUGAAGAUGUAGAGGGACAAGAGGUUUGUCAAGAAGAAGGUGAAGUGGUAUGUGUGAUUCAACGUCUCUUAUGUUCCACACCACAACCUGAUGACACACAACUGAAGAAAAUAUUUGAGAGCAAAUGCACAGUGAAUGGCAAGGUAUGCAAAUUAGUGAUUGAUAGUUGCAGUUGCGAGAAUCUUAUCUCCCAGAAGUUGGUGAACCAUUUAAAGCUUGAUACUCAUGAUCAUUCAAACCCCUACACUAUUGGGUGGAUCAAGAAAGGAGUGAAUAUGAGGAUCACCAGACAAUGCAACCUGCCACUUUCUUUGGGCAAGCAUUAUCGCUCAAAUGUGUUGUGUGACGUAGUUGAUAUGGACGCUAGCAAUGUUCUUCUUGGGAGACCUUGGCAAUUUGAUGUGGAUACUACACUCAAGGGCAAGGAAAAUUCUUACUAUUUCAUUUGGAACAAGAGAAAGACCAAACAAAAUUGA
rnacentral:rRNA from 1 species